rnacentral:rRNA from 1 species
AGAGUUUGAUCCUGGCUCAGGACGAACGCUGGCGGCGUGCCUAAUACAUGCAAGUCGAGCGAGCGGAACCAACAGAUUUACUUCGGUAAUGACGUUGGGAAAGCGAGCGGCGGAUGGGUGAGUAACACGUGGGGAACCUGCCCCUAAGUCUGGGAUACCAUUUGGAAACAGGUGCUAAUACCGGAUAAUAAAGCAGAUCGCAUGAUCAGCUUUUGAAAGGCGGCGUAAGCUGUCGCUAAGGGAUGGCCCCGCGGUGCAUUAGCUAGUUGGUAAGGUAACGGCUUACCAAGGCGACGAUGCAUAGCCGAGUUGAGAGACUGAUCGGCCACAUUGGGACUGAGACACGGCCCAAACUCCUACGGGAGGCAGCAGUAGGGAAUCUUCCACAAUGGACGCAAGUCUGAUGGAGCAACGCCGCGUGAGUGAAGAAGGUUUUCGGAUCGUAAAGCUCUGUUGUUGGUGAAGAAGGAUAGAGGUAGUAACUGGCCUUUAUUUGACGGUAAUCAACCAGAAAGUCACGGCUAACUACGUGCCAGCAGCCGCGGUAAUACGUAGGUGGCAAGCGUUGUCCGGAUUUAUUGGGCGUAAAGCGAGCGCAGGCGGAAAAAUAAGUCUAAUGUGAAAGCCCUCGGCUUAACCGAGGAACUGCAUCGGAAACUGUUUUUCUUGAGUGCAGAAGAGGAGAGUGGAACUCCAUGUGUAGCGGUGGAAUGCGUAGAUAUAUGGAAGAACACCAGUGGCGAAAGCGGCUCUCUGGUCUGCAACUGACGCUGAGCUCGAAAGCAUGGGUAGCGAACGGGAUUAGAUACCCUGUAGUCCAUGCCGUAAACGAUGAGUGCUAAGUGUUGGGAGGUUUCCGCCUCUCAGUGCUGCAGCUAACGCAUUAAGCACUCCGCCUGGGGAGUACGACCGCAGGUUGAAACUCAAAUGAAUUGACGG